UAGGCAUUAAUCAUACAAACACAUUUAUUUUUCAAUGUGGCAUCUUCUGUUCUCUAUCAGAGCAUGUGAGUGGAAUUGAGUGCCAAAAAACACUCCUCUGGGAAAAAAAACUGCAAAUCUAAAUUCGCUCCAUUCAUUAAAAUCACAAAAACACAUCUAUUUUUAGUGACUACCUGGACCUACCAUUUGGUUUUGACAUAUCAAAGCCAAACCAUAUGAUUGGAAUGAAAAGUAUUUUAGUAAACAACAUGAAAAGGUGACUGUAAGAAGCGCUCAUCAUUUCAAAUAGGCCACAUGUCAUAUUAAACAGCAUAUAACCACUCUAAAUAGGCCACAUGUCAUAUUAAACAGCAUAUAACCACUCUAAAUAGGCCACAUGUCAUAUUAAACUGCAUAUAACCACUCUAAAUAGGUCACAUGUCAUAUUAAACAGCAUAUAACCACUCUAAAUAGGCCACAUGUCAUAUUAAACAU
ensembl:lncRNA